UAGGGAAUCUUCGGCAAUGGGGGCAACCCUGACCGAGCAACGCCGCGUGAGUGAAGAAGGUUUUCAGAUCGUAAAGCUCUGUUGUAAGAGAAGAACGUGUGUGAGAGUGGAAAGUUCACACAGUGACGGUAACUUACCAGAAAGGGACGGCUAACUACGUGCCAGCAGCCGAGGUAAUACGUAGGUCCCGAGCGUUGUCCGGAUUUAUUGGGCGUAUAGCGAGCGCAGGCGGUUUAAUAAGUCUGAAGUUAAAGGCCGUGGCUUAACCAUUGUUCGCUUUGGAAACUUUUAGACUUGAGUGCUGAAGGAGAGAGUGGAAUUCCAUGUGGAGCGGUGAAAUGCGUAGAUAUAUGGAGGAACACCGGUGGCGAAAGCGGCUCUCUGGUCUGUAACUGACGCUGAGGCUCGAAAGCGUGGGGAGCAAACAGG
rnacentral:rRNA from 1 species